GCUCAAGUGGUCUAACGGUUAUGAUGCGACCUUCCCAUGAGAAGCGGUUGUGGAAAUAGGUCGCGAACGGGGUUCGACUCCCCGCUUGAGCA